CCAAAUUAACCCUAAUUUUCUGUGUCAAAAAGAGACAAGUACAACACAUUUUCUUCACCCCUCUACGAUUUACAAUGGCUUUCUUUAAUACGAGUGAAGGUGCUCAUUUUUUGCUCGUUGUUUAGAGCUUGCACUGCACUCGGAGAUAAUAGAGAAGAUAAAGAGUUGCCUACUUUCUGGGACAUUUUCAGUAGAAAUUCACAAGUGCUAUAAUAAAACUUUAAGCUUUUCAACUGUUCUUCAUUUUAACGAACUCAUCAGCCAAUGAAAAAUUAAGCACAGAAAUGGAGUCGACCUUGAAGGUUACUUUCCACUCUUAAAUUUCUACAUUUUUAAUUUCUCUACUUUUUUUUUUUUCUCUAAGGUUUUUAACUAUUUUAUUAUUUUUAGUACAGAAAUGUUUUGAGUUUUCUCCUUCCUCUGGCGAUGAUCCCUCUGAUGAUGAUGCCAAAUAGGAAACGUGUCACAUGAGGAGCUCAAACGGGUUUGACAAAAACUCACACAAUUUUUUUUUUUUGUGCUUUUAAAAUUUUGGAUAAACAUGUUAGGGAUUAAACUUCAAGUUUUAGAAAAGCUUUCUCAAGUAAAAAUUAGAUAUACAACAACGCUGUGGCCCAUAAUUUUCUUUUUUAGUUUGAUUUUUGGAAGCCAUUUUUAGUUUUUUAUAUGGAGUUCAAUUCAGGUAUGUUGAUUUGUUAUGGUGUUCUGAAUCUUGAUUGAGUGAACUGGAUUUUCUAUUUUCUCGAUUUUCUUUAAGUCAUUUGAUUGGUGUCGAUUAAUUUGUGAGCUAGAUUCUUUAUAGGAUUUUACUCCUUGCACAGGGCCCUGUGCACAGGGCCUGAGAACUGGAUUUUCUAUUUUCUCGAUUUUCUUUAAGUCAUUUGAUUGGUGUCGAUUAAUUUGUGUGCUAGAUUCUUUAUAGGAUUCUUUAUUGGUUUGAUUUUCAAUUAUUGGGAUUUUUCGGGUUUUGGGUUUUAGCUCCCGAAAAUGAAAAUGAAGGGAGUAGUAUUUUUUAGAAAAAUGAGUAGUUGAAAAAAGGGAAAAUUUUUCGAUUUAUGUGUAAUAUUAUAUUGUGGAAGAUUACGUGGUUGAAAAUAGGAGAGAAAAAUGGAAUUUAAUGUAAUUGAAUUUAAUGGGAAUCAAAUAGUUCCAUGACCAUCUCUUUCAAUUAACUUUUACGGGCUUCUUUAUAUUUUUAUUAUGCAUAAUUUUUUCUUUUGAAAUUGAUUUUUUCUGUUUUCAAAUUUAUUUGUUCUUUUUCUAAAUUUAGAUUGUUAUUCAUGAAUUUUUGUGGCAUUCCCUUACAAUUCAAGGUUUCCCAAUUUCAAAAACUAUGAUGUGACUUGAACGACUAUUACUUUUAUUGCUUAUGAAUUGUGCUUAAUCUCAUUCUAUUAUCAUCAUAAAUUUAUUCCUUUUUUAUUGUUUUGUGAUUUUCCAUGAACAUUCCACUUUUUCUAAGUAUGCUAAAUUCAUCAUGAUUUGUUCAUGUUAAAUUUAUGGAUCUUGUUGUAUCUGUUUCUUAUGUCUUUUGGCAGAGAAAACGUGGGAAUAUAGUUUUGAUGAUGAAAUAGAAUUGAGUUACUAUUACAAUAUUAUUAAACUAUUGCUUUAAGAACUGUCUUUUAACAAUGAGAGGGAAUUUUGGCCUUCUCCUAUUCAAAAACUAAUAUUUUAUCAUCCAUAAAGUUAUACGAGGAUUCGUUGUCUUUUCGGCUCUUUCGAAUGCAAGGAUAUGAUAUAAAUCCAAGUAGAAUUUCGAAAUCGUUACUUUAUUCACACAUUUUAUUGCUUGUACAUAGUGUACUGACUUAAAUUUUGUAUAUGUUUAGGGAACAUUAAUUGGUUUCUGAAGCAUGCAAAAAUUCUGAAGCAUAUGAGAAGAAAACUAUGGUCAAUUGAGGCUCGUGUUAGAAGUUGUACAAUUUUGUUUCUUGCCAUCACUCAUUCUUACUGCGAUGGUUAAAUAUUUUACUUCCAGUUUCUGCUUGAAAUAAUUAGGCGCUACUCAUCAAGCAAUUGUAGUUACUGUGAAUGAAGCACGUUGUUUGUACAUUUGGGUUUCAAAUAGAAAAUUAUUUUUUCUUUCUAAAUUCUAGGUUGAAUUUUCGAAAUCAAACAACUCAUAGAUGCAUAUGUGAAUAAGUAUGUUUUGCGACCUUCACAUGCAGCUUAUUUGAGAAGUGCAUUUUUUGUGCACUUAUUUAAUGCACAAACAUGAUUAAAUCACGAGAUAAAUAUUUAAAUUGUGGCUUAAAUUUGUUUAAUUGUUGGAUUGUAGGGUAUAAUGAAGGAUAUGGUGGAAUUCACGAGAAAAAGAAGCAAAGAGGACCAAAACAAAACAAAAUAAAAGUUCAGAGAACAACAUACAAAUAUCCAAAAGAUGAACCAAUGAAGCAAUAAAAGAUUCGAUCGAGCCAAGUACCAAUUGGAGGUUAACAUUAAUAGAUGGAAUGAAAAGAAGGAAGAAAUGAGGCCAAGAAUGUGGAAAAAAAAGUUUAAGGACCAAAAUCAACGUUCGGAAAAGGGGAACCUUUGCGGUUGCAUAGGUUAUACCUAUGUGAUCGCAUAGGAACCUCUCGAACACUAAAGGGCCAAUUUUUGUUAGCCUAUGCGUCCGUAUAAGUUAAGCCUAUGCAGUCGCAUAGGCAUAAAUCAGGGACCAAACCUGCAGUUUCCUAUUUUCGAUAUAAUUAUUUUGGAAUUCGAUUGUGACGCGAUAUAAAAACCUAGAGCCGUCAUAUUUCAGGGCAAAACGUAUUGGGAGGCAAGAAAACACAUCUUGGAGAGGAUUUUGAGCCAAGGUAACAAGGAUUUACACGAAAAUCUUCAAGAUUUCAAGCAAGUUCAUAACUCGGUGAUGCUUUUUCUUCAAUUUAUCAUGUAUUCAGUAAUUUUCUCCAUGAUAGGCUAGGUUUUCAUGCACUCGGAGAUUGAUGUACCAUAUGAUGUGAUUUCUUUAAUUUCUAGUUUUCAAUUUGACAAUAAACGCGUAUUGAAUGUUUGAAUGAUUUAUAUACAAUAAUUUUCAUCUAUAAUUAUGUGAUGUUUUGUUGUUUAUUUCAUCUGUUCGAGAGAAGAGAAAUAAAUUAGACACGGUAUAAAUUGUCGUAGGGACCGAUAGGGAUUAAAGAUACACCCAUAUGCUUUUCGUGAAUCUUUAGAUGCUCAUCAAACCAUAUGCAUUCUUAUAUAUGCAUUUUCAUGGAGAUAUAGGCCGGUGGUGUAUAAGGAUAUGUUCAAUACAUCUCUCGAGAGAGUGUUAAAUAGAUUUAGGAGCACUGAUUCGUCAGUAAUUCAAUCAUGUUGUCAUUUUGUGAAAUUAGGGUUAAGAUUGAUCAUUAUAUGAGAAUUCGUGAUCCUAGUGUUUUUAAUUUUCAUUGAAUACAAUCAAUUUGCGUUCUAAACAUUUAAUUUGCAUUUUAAUUCAUUAAAAUAUUGUUUUGCACAUUGAGUUCAUUCCAAUCAUCAAGUUUGAAUAAUUAAGGUUUUUAGAAAUCAGGGUUUUACUAAAUUAGGGUUUUUUCUAAGAAUAAAUUUUUGUUUUGAAGAAUUUGUUUCGGUUAAGGCCAAGAUAGUUAGAAUUAAACUACUCAAUCUCUGUGGGACGAUAUUUGAAACUUGACAUUCUAAUUUAUUACUUGUUAACGAACUGUACUCUUGCGGUAAUAUUAAGUCGAAAGAAAUAUUUCGUCAACAAGUUUUUGGCGUCGUUUCCGGGAAUUAAGUAUUCGUUUAAUUUUAUUUAUAUUGGUACUAAUUUGAACAUUCAACUUUGCAUUUUCGGUUAUUUUGUUGAGUUUUAUUUAAUUUUAUUCAAUUUCAUUUUUGAUUUGCAUGUUAAGGUCAGCUGAAGGAGAAUUGAUCCCAACUGAUCCAGAAAUCGAACGAACUCUACAUCGAAGACAGUGAGAAAACAGAAAGGCACAACAACAAAUGACUAACGUGCAGAAUAAUCCAAUUUUUAGGCCAAUGAAGAAGGGGCAGCGGAUGAAGGAAAUAUGCUCGUGGGAGAUUUCAU
rnacentral:lncRNA from 1 species